rnacentral:rRNA from 1 species
GAUGAACGCUGGCGGCGUGCCUAAUACAUGCAAGUCGAGCGAACGGACGAGAAGCUUGCUUCUCUGAUGUUAGCGGCGGACGGGUGAGUAACACGUGGAUAACCUACCUAUAAGACUGGGAUAACUUCGGGAAACCGUAGCUAAUACCGGAUAAUAUUUUGAACCGCAUGGUUCAAAAGUGAAAGACGGUCUUGCUGUCACUUAUAGAUGGAUCCGCGCUGGAUUAGCUAGUUGGUAAGGUAACGGCUUACCAAGGCAACGAUGCAUAGCCGACCUGAGAGGGUGACCGGCCACACUGGAACUGAGACACGGUCCAGACUCCUACGGGAGGCAGCAGUAGGGAAUCUUCCGCAAUGGGCGAAAGCCUGACGGAGCAACGCCGCGUGAGUGAUGAAGGUCUUCGGAUCGUAAAACGCUGUUAUUAGGGAAGAACAUAUGUGUAAGUAACUGUGCACAUCUUGACGGUACCUAAUCAGAAAGCCACGGCUAACUACGUG